CUGCAGAAACCCAAGAUGCACCUGUAUCGUGAAGGAAGUUAGCUGCUAAUAAAAGACGAAAGCAGAUGUGUGAUGAUAUAAUUGUUGAAGAGACAUUCAGUUUACUGUUGAAGCAUUAUAAUGCCUUGAAGAAACUUUGGAAGUUUCACCUGUUGCCUCAGAAGAUAUACUACUGCAGGCAUUCACCAGCUCAUUCUUAAAACCCUAUAACUUCAUCUCCCCAAGGAAGAAGUCGACGUUACAGAUGCCUUGCAAGCAUCAAAAUAAACUGCUAGCAAACAGUGUUUUAUUGCACAGCCAGACUUCACCUAACGCCUUCUGCAAUGUUCACCCUCCCUCAGGUCUCUGACCAGUGCAAGUAUAUGAACUUUGGAAAGUGAGUUACCUCCUGAUGUUGGCAGGAUUUGGGAAGAUGGGUCAGAGACUCUUGUGGAAAGCUGUGAAGAUUUAGAUCAUUGAUGCCACAGCA